GGCCAAACACACUGGAGCGGACACAGGACGAAACAGCAUGGGUGGAGUCGAGGACCGACCAGCAUCUGCCAGACGACAUUCCAAAUACUACGGUUUAAUCAUUUAACAACUACUACAUCAAUAAAUAGUAUAGAUGAUAUACAAAUGUGCAAAUAGGCCAUGUCAAACUGUACUGUGCAAAUCAUGCUAAUAAAGUGCAAACUGUUCACUAAA